GUGUUAAAGUAGUGUUUAGUUUUAUUAUUUAAUUGAAGAAUCAUUGUGGUUAUUGUAUUUUUGUGAUUUAAUUUUUGUACGAUAGAUUAUUUGUACCGUGAGGGGAUGUUGAGUUUAAAUGUUUUUUAUAAAGCCGGCUUUGUUUGUCGUACCUUGUGUAUCAGGGUUCAUUGAAUUUUGUUAUUUAUUUUUAUUUCCCGAUUUUAAAGGAGUUAAUGGUUUAUGUUAGUUACUGUUUCAUCAGUAUUAAUAAUAUACUUUUGGUAGUGAAAUGCUAUUCGUCUUUAGUGGUUUCUGGUUUUUCAAGAAAUGAAUUUAAUUCAUGUGUCUUAUUUAAUUUCUGUUGUUGUUUUACUUAUUUUUAUUUGACACUAAGAUUAAGGGGGAUUAGCUCCUUAUUUUAUUUUUAUAAUUGUUUAUUUUGAUUUAGUUUUGUGGAUUUUAUAGUGAUUUUCAAUUUGAUUAUGUUAAAAUUUUGUUAUGUUCUUUUGUUUAUUUUUUGUGGUUUAAGUUUUAUAUUGAAAUGUUUUUUGUAUUUUUGUUUGAAUGGUAAUUAUUGUGUAAUUAGUAAAUUUAUUUUUUGUAUUGUUUUAUGUGAGUGCAUAAUUUCUUUUGAGGAAUUAGGCAAAGGUUUACAUGUCCGCCUGUUUAACAAAAACAUCUUUUCUUGUUAGUUUUUGAAGUAUGGCCNNNNNNNNNNNNNNNNNNGAAGGGCCGCGGUAUUUUGACCGUGCAAAGGUAGCAUAAUCAUUAGUUCUUUAAUUGUGAUCUGGUAUGAAUGGCUUGACGAGACAUGAGCUGUCUUAAAGGUAUUAUCUUUAUUGAAUUUGGUUUUUGAGUUAAAAUUCUUAGAUGUUUUUAUGGGACGAGAAGACCCUAUAGAGUUUGACAUUUACCCUUCUUAUGUGUUAGUGUUUGUUUAGUAUUGGUUAUUAGUUGGUUAAGUGUUUUGUUGGGGUGAUGAGAGGAAUAAAAUAUAACUCCUCUUUGGUUUUGUAUAUUUAUAUAUAUUUGUUUUGAUCCAUUUAUUUUGAUUAUAAGAUUAAAUUACCUUAGGGAUAACAGCGUUAUCUUCCUUGAGAGUUCUUAUUGGCAGGGAGGUUUGCGACCUCGAUGUUGGAUUAAGGUGAAUUUUCGGUGCAGAAGCUGAAAGUGAUUAGGUCUGUUCGACCUUUAAAAUCUUACAUGAUCUGAGUUCAGACCGGCGUGAGCCAGGUUGGUUUCUAUCUAUAAUAAUAUUUUAUAUCUUAGUACGAGAGGACCAGGUAUUUGGAAUAAUUUUAUUUUGAUUUGAAUUUCAUUAAUUUGUUACUAUUUUGGCAGAUAAGUGCAUUGGAUUUAGAAUCUAUUAAUGUAAAAUUUU
rnacentral:rRNA from 1 species